AUUUUCUUUUUUCUUGUUGACCGGUUGUGAAAAGACAGGAAUACCCUGGGAGAUUCCUGCAAAAAAACUUGGGGACCAAAUUGAAAUAGUGAAAAAUUGUAGAAACUUAAUCAAAUAAUAAGUUAGGGGACUGAAUUGUAAUUUUCAGGAAAACACAUAAUAUUUAUAAAAUUGUGGGGCUGAAAACACUAUUUUGGAGCUGAAUUAAAUUUUAAAAUUAUUUAGAAACUGAAAAAUAAUUAGAAAUGUAAAUUAAUAUUAUAAUUAGUCGUUUAAUAAUAUUAAGUACAAAUAUUAAAACAUAAGCAAAGAAAAUUCUUAUACAAAUAAACAUUAAUCGAAUUGAAUUUAAAUAUAAAUAAUUCAAAACUUUGAAUCAAAUUGCAAUUUUUAAAAUUUAUUUAACAAAAGGAAAAUAACACGUUUUUUUUUAUUGAAAUUCGGUCGGUGUUUAUUUUCCGACGAACUCUCAUUUUUUUUGCAUUUUUUUUAUCCUAAUGAAAUUCUGAGAUUUCGUCCCCAAAUUAAGAAUGCCCAAAACCCUAAUUUCAGUAUAGUUUCAGCUCAACAAUGUAUUCGACACCACUGGGAUUUGCUAAACCCUUAAUCAAUUUCCCCCCAAAUCAAAGAACACAAAAGAAUUGGCACUUCUCUCUCAAACCCACCAAGAAAUUGCAACCCCAUAGCCGCCCACGUGUUCUUUUGCCGAGAGCCGCUUCAAAUUCAAAGCCAUCAGUAAAUUCCGGCGCCGGAGAUGAGGAUUUCGUGACCAAGGUUUUGAAGGAAAAUUCCAGCCAAAUCGAACCAAAGUAUUU
rnacentral:lncRNA from 1 species